rnacentral:lncRNA from 1 species
CUGAAGUGAUCUGCCCACCUCGGCUUCCCAAAGUGCUGGGACUGCAGGUGUGAGCCACUGCGCCUGGCCCCUUCAGGUGGGUUUUGAGGCUUCACGUUGCUGCUGCAAUAAAUUACCACACACUUAGUGGCUUAAAACAGCACAGAGGUAUUCCCUUACAUUUCUGAAGGCCAGAAUUCUAAAAUCAGUCCCACUGAGUCAAGGUGGGAGCAGGGUCAGUGCCUUCCCAGGCUCUGCGGGAGAAUCUGUUUCCUGGCCCUGGAGGCGGCCUGUACUCCUUAGCUUGUGCUGCCCUUCUGGAAUGACUCGAGUUUCCUGCUUUCAUCACUACACCUCCCACCGCUCUCCAUCACCUGCUGUGCUCUUACGAGGAUCCAGCUGAGACAUGUUUUAGGAAGUUUGCUAAAAGACCCCUGGAGACGUCCUCAUUGUGGCCUCCCUGCUGUUGUGUUUAAUUUGGUUGAUCUUCUCUGCCCUCCUGCUUUUCAGAAUUAAAAGGCUAAAAAGAGUUUUCAGAGAAAUGGAAUAAUUGUAUUGCUGAUCUACGUAAACAAGUUGAAGAAUUGUCUGAAAGAAAAUAUGGUGUGUCUGAACUGGAAAAGUCCUGUGAUAGUUUGUUCAUGAGCAUUUACACAAUGGAGUUACUGUUCAUCAUGGGGGUACUGUGGACAAGCCCAGGGCUGCUGACAUAAUCUUAUGAAUUCAACACAUGAAGAUUUACAACUUGAUAAACCAGCUUCAGGAGAUCAGAACUUCUUACAAUACAACUGAUGUUACUCAGCCUAGAACAAAUACAACAGGGAUUGUGCUGCAUUCUGACUUAGGUUCUGCCAUCGAACACAGAAUGCCCUGAUCCUUAGAGGCAGAGGCAGCUCUUCAGCCUAUGGGAAAACUGUGGAUUUAGUUACUCCACUCUGCCAUGUCCUUCCACCACUGCCUGCACAUUUGAGACCAAGGAUAGAGAUUGGGAAAAAUCCAUAGUUCUCCUGACUCAGAGUUUGGCUCCGGCACUCUCAUUUCAGCCAUAGCUGCAGACAAAGCACACGACUGCUGGGCACUGUGGCUCAAGAGAAGGGGGAGAUGCAGGAAGAAGAUGAGCCUUAAGUCUGAACACUGAGGAAUUCAUGUGCAUCAGUCAGACCUCCUGUGCAAGGAAGGAUGUGGUUACUACGGCAACCCUGCCUGGCAGGGUUUCUGCUCCAAGUGCUGGAGGGAAGAGUACCACAAAGCCAGGCAGAAGGAGAUUCAGGAGGACUGGGAGCUGGCGGAGCGACUCCAGUGGGAGGAAGAGGCCUUUGCCAGCAGUCAGAGCAGCCAAGGGGCCCAAUCCCUCACAUUCUCCAAGUUUGAAGGAAAGAAAACCAACGAGAAGACCCACGAGGUUACCACAGUGAAGAAAUCUUCAGUGCGUCUUCCAGGGUCGGAUCAAAGAAGGCAGAAAUUCAGGAAGCAAAAGCCAGUCCUUCCAUAAACCGGCGAACCAGCAUUGAAACGGAUAGAGUGUCUAAGGAGUUCAUAGAAUUUCUCAAGACCUUCCACAAGACAGGCCAAGAAAUCUAUAAACAGACCAAGCUGUUUUUGGAAGGGAUGCAUUACAAAAGGUGCCUCCAGAAAGGGUUGAGAAGAUAAUGGAUCAGAUUGAAAAGUACAUCAUGACUCAUCUCUGUAAAUAUGCGUUCUGUCCAGAACCCCAGUGAGCCUGGAAGACUGGGUGCUAUGGGAAAUGUCAUCAAUCCAAUGCUAGUGAAAGAUGUGACUGGGGAAUGCUGAAAAAUGCGCACCCCUGGGAGGAAUGAGGAAAGAUGACAUCCACUGACUUGUUAUUUUUUUGAGAAGGAGUCUUGCUCUGUUGCCCAGGCUGGAGUGUGGUGGCACGAUCUCGGCUCACUGAUGAUGAGAAGAAAGAUCUUGCCAUUCAAAAGAGGAUCAGAGUGGAAGCUUCUCUGUGGUGUCAGAAAGACGAGGAAUGUGGUGACCUCACCUAUCCAUCUCCCUCAAGGCAGCUUUUGUUUUUCUGCAGUGACCGUACUUGCAAUAAUUAAACAUAGUUGGUCAUUUAAAAUACAUCUCUGAUACUCUCGUCAAAGGUGGAGCCCAGUCCCUAUCGCCUUGAGUGAGGGCUGGGUUACGUGAUUCCCUUCUGACAGAUAGGAAAAAGCAAAAGUGAUGGCUUGCAACUUUGCAAACUACAUCAUAAAAGGUACUGUGGCUUCCUCCUUGCUCACUCUUUGAUUACUCACUUGGGAAAGCCAGCUGUCACACCAUGACACCUAAGCAGCCUGUAGAGAGGCUCAUGUAACAGGAACUGAGGCCUCCUGUCAGCAGUCACAUGAGGGAGCCAUCUUGGAAACAGGCUUUAGGUGACUGCAGUCUCAGUGGACAGCUUGAGUGCAAUGUCAUGAGACACCCUGAGCCCAAAUGACCCAGCUAUGCCACUCCUGAAUUCCUGACCCACAGAAAUGGAGAUCCUAACUUAAGUUCUUGGACUCACUGAGGCAGUAAAAGAACCAUAUCCUGUGUUUGAAUCAAAUCCCAAGUUCCUGUACGUAGAAGGUUUGCCAGACAGGAUUCCCUUUCGAAGCCCUCCUGGUUUGGAAUUCCAUGACUUGAAAGGAUCGUCCAUGGGAGUAAUAAAAUCAAAUUUGUUGGUAAAAAACCUGAACUGGUUAUUUCCUACUUGCCUCCUGGAGUUGCUAAUAAAAUAAACACUAAAGCUUCGCAGUUUCUAAAAAGACCAUGAAGCCCUGAGAGUAAUGAAAAGGUUCCUGAAAUUGAGGUCACUGUGGAAGGAGAAUCUAAUGCCUGAUGAUCUGUCACUAUCUCCCAUCACCCCCAGAUGGGACCAUCUAGUUGCAGGAAAAGAAGGUCAAGACUCCCAGUCAUUCUACAUUAUGCCUCAGCCAAGAUGUCUCACCCCACUCUCUCUGAUGCAACAAGAAGCCCCUGGAGAACGUUUCAGUCCCAUUUUGUACUUCUGUCAUGUGCUCAUCACAGUCUGGUGGAAUUUAAAUGACCUCUUAUCAAGAUGGAUAAACCCAAGUUUCCCAGUGCUGGAAUAUAGAAAAUGGAUGGACAAGAAGUGACCUCACAAUGACUCAAGCUACCACUUAAUGUUGAUUGUGAUGAAAUGCCAGCCGAGGCAUAUGCCAUUCAAGCUAAGGGUGCUACACUUGACCACUGCGGCAGUAUAGAUGAGUCUGAAGAAUGGUAUGGGAUGGAUACUUACGAAUGCACUCGAGCAGGGGUCUCCAUCCACAGGGCCACAGAGCCAGAGGUGAGCAGCAGCUGGAUCUACCAUGAAAGACUUCAGAGUCCAGGAAGAGAGACUGAUUGGGCAACAUGUUAUUCAGUUACAAAAAGACUUGGACUAUGACUCAAAAAUGAUCAAAUAAUAGUGCAUGCAUCCAAUGCAAUAAGAAGCACUUCUGGAGGGUGAGAGAAGCAUCCAGUUAAGGUGACAUUGAAGCUGGGUCCUGAAAGAUGAGGAAGAAUUGUAUGAGAGUGGGCAGAGAAGGGGGAGGUGGAGGGAUGGGGAAUGGGCUGAGAUGGAGUGAGCUGCUCAAGCAGGGAAACCAGCACUGUAAAGACCUGGUCAAUAAAGAUGGCACAUUUUAUUCAGGGAAUGGUGAAUUAAUUGUGGCAGGAAUGCUUUGGAGAGAGAGUAAUUUGCUUGUAUGGAAUUUUGCCCAAGAGACCUCAUUACAGUUUCUAAUCUUUUGAUGUUAUCGUCUAUCACUGUCCUUGUCAGAUAGUUUGGAAUAGGUAUAAUGAUCACAAUAACAUCAAGCAUAAUAUUUCAUUAAUUCUCACAAAAUCACAGGUAGGUGCCACAGUUAUCCCCAUUUUGUGAAUGAAGUGAUGAAGACUUAGGAAUGAUGAGUGAUUGCCCAAGCUCACCUGGAUAUUAAGAGGUCUUGCUCUGUUGUCCAGGCUGGAAUGUGGUAGUGCUAU